rnacentral:tRNA from 1 species
GCGGGUAUGAUGUAAUGGUAGCCUCUCAGCUUCCCAAGCUGAACGCGCGGGUUCGAUUCCCGCUACCCGCU